rnacentral:rRNA from 1 species
AACCUGCCUUGUAGUGGGGGAUACCCAGCCGAAAGGUUGGCUAAUACCGCAUAAUCUGUUGGUCUGAGAUAGCCAUCAGGAAAGAUUCAUCGCUAUUAGAGGGGCCUGCGUUCGAUUAGCUAGUUGGUGAGGUAAUGGCUCACCAAGGCUACGAUCGAUAGCUGGUCUGAGAGGACGAUCAGCCACACUGGAACUGAGACACGGUCCAGACUCCUACGGGAGGCAGCAGUGGGGAAUUUUCCGCAAUGGGCGAAAGCCUGACGGAGCAACGCCGCGUGGGC